CCGCGGCCGUCGCCCACAAGCGCCCCCUGUCGGGCGGGAGGCGUCCCUGUGCUGCCGGGGCUCGCCGCACCCGUGGGAAUUAUGAAAACAAAACAAGAAGAGAAAAGAGGAAAAGGGUGUUUCCCCACGUGCCCCCCCCACGCCCCCCCGGGCUCACAGGGAUGCGGGUGUCCCCAGCUCAGGUCUGGGCAGCGGCAUUCAACCCCCAGCCUUCACCCGUGGUGCUGUGCUGCGCUGCCAGCGCGAGGGAACUUUUCUGCCAGGAUUCUGUUUUGAGUCCAUCAUCAAAGAGACUUUAUAAGGACCUAUUUCUUUUGAGAGGUAUAUAGACUAAGUGCGAAGAUUUUCUAAUGACAGCAAAGGUUUAAAUAAACAUUUAUAUAACAAUUAUAAUAUGGAUUGAUGGCCUCAUUUCGUUAAUACUAAAUAAAGCAAAUAAUUUCUUAUGAAGGCCAUGUACAACACUGCAUUGAUUCACUCUGGGAGUAUCAAUUACCCUGUCUUAAUUGGGGACAAUAAAAGAAAAUUGUGAGGUUAUUAAUCCUGUCAAAAUGAAUCAAUGCUGUCUGUAUGACAUAAAGUACAUCAUAAAAGUCCAUAUUUUAAUAUUCAUGUAUCUUCAAACAUACUAUUCUGAACUCUCCUUGGGAAACCUGGAAUUUCUACCAUGCACCACUGAAGGUUAAAGGAAUGGGUUUUCUGUUCUGUGGUUGCUCCUAGUUGCUGAUGCAUUAACCACCAAAAGAGCAAAACUUGAACAAAUGGACUGAAUUACUGCCAGGUAUUACAGAAAGUUAGAUCUAAUGGUUCCCCAUUCCUGUCAGCUGAAGAUACCAUCUUCCAGCUAAAAGACCAGUAAAGGUUCAUACUAUCAUUGCAGUAUUUAGAGCAGGAGACAAUCAUGACAUUCAAGUACACAAACUUCUGUUAUUCUUUGUGUAGAAACACCUAGUUCUGCUUCAGAAUCAAAAGACUCCAGGCACAUGUAUUUCCAUUGUCUGUAGCAUUGGCUUCUAAGGUUGAAUAGGAGUGUCCUUUAAUUUUUUUGAGAACUCACUCUAGAAGCCUUCCUGGAAGAACACAAGAGCUCUGAAAAAUCUGUGGUUUUCUAUUUUCCAUUGUGAUUUCUGUGUACACACAUACUUUGGUUGCAUAUUUUUUGGUAUCUGUCUGUUGUUUUAUAGCAAUUAUCCUGAAAAAGAGUUUAAUUAAUUUAAAGAAAAAAAUGAACGCAGACAUUAAUACAGUGCCUCCGUGAAGUAAUUACUGAUCCAGCAAAAAUGCCCCCGGUACAUCUUCCUUUACUGCAAAGCAGAUUCUUCAAACUUUGAUGAUCCCAUCUGAAAUUGUUAGUAUUUAUUUAGGAAAGAAGAGAAUGUAAAGGUGUAGUCAGGUCUCCCAUGUUAAACAAGGGGAAUAAACCAUAAAGAUGUGGUUAUUUGGUAGACUGGACUGUGAUAAGACCAUAUGUUUUCGAUAUGGGGCAUUUUGUUAAGAUACCUGUGAAGACAGGAGAGAACAGUGUAACCACUGUAAUGAUGAAAAAGUAGAAAUAAUGCAAGUGGAAAUGAGUAAAUAAUUGUCUACCAGAAUGUCUAAAAAUAGGUUACAAACUGGAUGAAAUGGAGUAUAAAUUAGAAUUUUAUUAAAUGAUUCUUUCAUUCCACAAAUGUCACCACAUUAUCUUUGUCACUUGCUGGUCAUCUUUUCCUGCCAAACAGCUGAGUUUGUGAACUUAAAAGGUUUUGCUGUCAGAUUUUGCUCAUUCAUGUACUUAGAUUUUAGAAACUGAAAAGAUCACAUGUCGUUUGUGUUUCAUUGUGCUGGUAUACAACAUUUAAGUAACAAUUUUGAUAUGGUGAUUCAGAGGGAUUACUCUGAUGAGGGAACAGGGGCCUCACAAGCUGUUCCUUUAUCAGUGCAAGCUGGCAAGAUAAAGCACAAACUUUUUAGAAAUAACUGGAUAUUAGACAUAUAUUAGAAGGGCAGAGUUUUCACCUCUUGGCUGCGUGUGCCAUGGGGAUUUUUGUCUUUUUUCUUUUUCACAGUCCUCUAAUGCACAGUUAUAAAUAACAUAGUGUUUUGCUUUUCACCGUCCUCUUUUCUCAUUUCCUGUCCUGUUGCACAGUGGCUGUUUGCUAAUGGGAAGGCACUUAGUUCAACCUCAGGCAGCCUUUUCUACAUAAUUGGUUUAGUUAUGAAACACCAUACUUUCAGUUAAUUAGUGUAACUGUAGAUAGGAGAAAUUUGGUAUUCAUUUGGUUCUUCUUUUGCAGUGAAUGUUCAUAUCAAUAACGAAGCUGUCCCUGAGUAAAAUAUUUAUAGACGUACAGAGCAUGAAACAGCACAUAUAUGUGGAAAGCCCCACAAGUAAAACUGGAUGCUAAAUGCAUGAGCAGCUGCCUUGUUCAUAUAAUUAGUGCAUGUGGUUCAGACAUGUUCAGAAAAUUGUAUUCAUAUAGAUACAGAGGUAUUUUAAGUAGCUGUUUUCUUUUUGUUAUGGUAUGUGUAGAGCUAAUGAAAUUUUAUCAGCCUCAAAAUAUUAAGUGGAGUUCCUUGUUUGACAAGGUUGUUUUCUCAAUUUUGAUUAGAAGACUAAAUGUACAGAUGUGUUUAAAGGAGCAGCUUCCCACAUUUGAUCUUUUUUUGAGGAAUGUUUAAACGUAAUAUACAGAAUUUAGAGUAACUGUUUGUUUCACUUUGUCUUCAAACGUAACACAGAAUAUUUAGGGGAAGAGAAACAUAUUUCUGCAGGUUUUCAGCCAUAUGUCCACUUAAAAAUCAAACGUACUGCUAUGUUUGUAGAACAUAUUGAAAAGAACAAAAGCCACUGUAAGUACCCAUAUUUUGUUAUUCAACUGAAUAUCUUGAUUAAUGCUAACUAGAAGACCAAUUUGUCUGUAUAGCGUAGCAUGUCAUAAUGAGCUACUGCACUGCAAACAUCAAGUGUGUCUUACUCUGAUAUACUGAGCUGUCAUGGAACAGAGCAUUGAAGUAGUAUAUAAAAUCUUUAUUCAUAGUAAGCCAGAGGCACUUGUAAAAUAUUGCAAGCAAUAUAAAAUAUAUGCUGUUGCAUAAAUAAACAAGCAUUUAUACUAUCAAAGGCAACAGAGAAACUUUUAAGGGGUCUGUCUACAGAAAUUCUCAAAAUCCAAAGAUAGAAGGGAAGUACAGAUUUGAUUUUAAUAUAAUUUCAAAAUUCAGUAUUAACAAACAUGCAAAUGAAAAUGAAACAUGAUAUUUUAAUUCCCGGAAUAAUUUUUUCACUGUGGCAUAUUUUCAAAUACUUCCUCUGUAUUAAGCUUAUGUUGCAGCUGAG